ensembl:snRNA U6 U6 spliceosomal RNA
GUGCUCACUUCAGCAACACAUAUACUAAAAUUGGAAUGAUACAGAGAAGAUUAGCAUGGCCCCUGUGCAAGGACAACAAAUUCGUGAAGCAUUCCAUAUUAUA